AGGAACUACGCGCACUCAAGAAGGUAGUGGUGCGUAGUGAUGUAGUGAGCCACUACGUGAUCAGGACGCAGCCCAGCGACGCCGCCGUCAGUACCGUCGAGUGCGCGGCGCUCGCCCUCGCUGCCCUCGAGGGCCGCCCUCACAUCUACACCGCCCUCGUGCGUCCCCUCACUGCCCUCUGCCAGCACCAGUUGUCCCACGGGGCUGUGGUGCACGAGAGCAAGGAGCGGCGCUACAGACUCGCCCCCGUCCCCUGCCUCGGCAAGCGCACGGCCAAGACCCUCGCUCAGUGUGGGGCCCACGUCGCCGCCCUAGGGGCAGGCCUGGCUGAUGGGGC